AUACUUACCUUACAGGGGAGAUACCAUGAUCAUGAAAGUGCUUUUCCCAGGGCAAGCCUCAUCCACUGCACUCUGGAUGUGCUGACCCCUUUGAUUUCUCCAAAUGUGGGAAAUUUGAAUGCAUUAAUUUGUGGCACUGGGGGACUGCAUUCCUGCUCUCCCCUG